UGAAUACGAGAUGCUACGGCGUCGAAGCAGUCUAUGUCAUACUUCCAAGAAAAGCUUGCACUGUCAUAAACAAAUAAUGCCUGUACCAUAACCGACACAGGUGGGUAGGUAGAGUAUACUAAGGGGCGCGAGAUAACUCUCUCUAAGGAACUCGGCAAAAUGACUCCGUAACUUCGGGAGAAGGAGUGCCUUAUUUUAUAAGGUUGCAAUAACAAGAUCCAAGCAACUGUUUACCAAAAACACAGGUCUCCGCUAAGUCGUAAGACGAUGUAUGGGGGCUGACGCCUGCCCAGUGCCAGAAGGUUAAAGAAGUUGGUUAGCAUCCGCGAAGCUGAUAACUGAAGCCCUGGUGAACGGCGGCCGUAACAAUAACGGUCCUAAGGUAGCGAAAUUCCUUGUCGGGUAAGUUCCGACCCGCACGAAAGGCGUAAUGAUUUGGAUACUGUCUCAGAGAGGGGCUCGGUGAAAUAGACUUGUCUGUGAAGAUGCGGACUACCUGCACCAGGACAGAAAGACCCUAUGAAGCUUUACUGUAACUUGAAAUUGAAAUUGGACUUUACUUGCGCAGUAUAGGUGGGAGGCGUUGAGAAUAUUCUUGCGGGAAUGUUGGAGCCAUCAGUGAGAUACCACUCUUGUAAUGUUAGAUUUCUAACUUUGUAUCAUUAUCUGGUCAAAGGACAGUUUCAGGCGGGCAGUUUGACUGGGGCGGUCGCCUCCCAAACGGUAACGGAGGCGCACAAAGGUUUCCUCUGAACGGGUAGAAAUCGUAUCUAGAGUGUAAAGGCAUAAGGAAGCUUGACUGUGAGACCUACAAGUCGAGCAGGGACGAAAGUCGGUCUUAGUGAUCUGACGGUGCUGAGUGGAAAGGCCGUCACUCAACGGAUAAAAGUUACUCUAGGAUAACAGGCUGAUCUCCCCCAAGAGUUCACAUCGACGGGGAGGUUUGGCACCUCGAUGUCGGCUCAUCGCAUCCUGGGGCGGUAGUACGUCCCAAGGGUUGGGCUGUUCGCCCAUGAAAGCGGUACGCGAGCUGGGUUCAGAACGUCGUGAGACAGUUCGGUCCAUAUCCGGUGUAGGCGUUAGAAUAUUGAGAGGAGCCUUCUUUAGUACGAGAGGACCGAGAAGGACAUACCUCUGGUGUACCAGUUAUCGUGCCAACGGUAAACGCUGGGUAGCUAUGUAUGGAGUGGAUAACCGCUGAAAGCAUCUAAGUGGGAAGCCCACCUCAAGAUAAGUAUUCUC
rnacentral:rRNA from 1 species